GAUGAACGCUGGCGGCGUGCCUAAUACAUGCAAGUCGAGCGAACGGACGAUAAGCUUGCUUCUCUGAUGUUAGCCGCUGACGUGUGAGUAACACAUGGAUAACCUACCUAUAAGACUGGGAGAACUUCGUGAAACCGGGGCUAAUACCGUAUUAUAUUUUGAACCUCAUUAUUCAAAAGUGAUAGACGGUCUUGCUGUCACUUAUAGAUAGAUCCUCGCUGAAUUAUCUAUUUGGUAAGGGAACGGCUUACUAAGGCAACGAUGCAUAUCCGCCCUGAGAGGGUGAUGGGCCACACUGGAACUGAGACACGCUCCAGACUCUUACGGGAGGAAGCAGUAGGGAACCUUACGAAAUGGGCGAAAGCCUGCCGGAGCAACGCCGGGUGAGUGAGGAAGUUCUUCGGAUCGAAAAACCCUGUUAUAAGGGAAGAACAUAUGUGUAAGUAACUGUGCACAUCUUGACGGUACCUAACCAGAAAGCCACGGCUAACUACGUG
rnacentral:rRNA from 1 species